CGAGCGGUAAGGCCUUUCGGGGUAACGAGCGGCGAACGGGUGAGUAACACGUGNNNGACCUGCCCUCAGCUCUGGGAUAAGCCUGGGAAACUGGGUCUAAUACCGGAUAUGACCACAUGUCGCAUGGUGUGUGGUGGAAAGUUUUUUCGGCUGGGGAUGGGCCCGCGGCCUAUCAGCUUGUUGGUGGGGUGAUGGCCUACCAAGGCGACGACGGGUAGCCGGCCUGAGAGGGCAACCGGCCACACUGGGACUGAGAUACGGCCCAGACUCCUACGGGAGGCAGCAGUGGGGAAUAUNNCGCAAUGGGCGGAAGCCUGACGCAGCGACGCCGCGUGGGGGAUGACGGCCUUNNGGNUGUAAACCUCUUUC
rnacentral:rRNA from 1 species